AUGAUAUUUGAUCUUGUUGAUAGAUGCAUAGAAGAAAUUGGGGAGAAGAAUGUCGUUCAAAUUGUAACGGAUAAUGCCUCAGUCAAUAUAGCAGCAGCAGCAAUGAUGAAAUUGAAGUGUCCCUCCCUAUUUUGGAAUGGUUGUGCAGCCCACACAAUUGAUUUGAUGUUGGAGGACAUAGGGAAGCUUCCUAUGAUCGAACAAACCAUUGCCAAAGGAAAGGCUGUGACUGUGUUCCUUUAUGCGCAUACAAGAGUUUUGGCAUUGAUGAGAAAAUUUCUUGGAAAAGACCUAGUCCGCUCUGGUAUUACUAGGUUUGCAAUAGCAUAUUUGAACUUGAAAAGCUUGCAGGACAACAAAAAAGAGCUACAAAAGUUGUUCAGGUCCGAUGAACUCAAUGAAAUGGACCACCUAAAAAGGCAAAGGGGAAGAACGCAGCUAAAAUCGUUCGCUCUGAAACUUUCUGGAAAGCAGUAG
rnacentral:rRNA from 1 species